AACCAACGCUGGCGGCGUGCCUAAUACAUGCAAGUCGAACGGGGUAGCAAUACCUAGUGGCGCACGGGUGAGUAACGCGUGGAUAAUCUGCCUUAGAGAGGGGGAUACCUAGUCGAAAGAUUAGCUAAUACCGCCUAAGACCACAAGAGCUGCGGCUCAAGGGGUCAAAGGUUUUUCGCUCUAAGAUGAGUCCGCGUAAGAUUAGCUAGUUGGUGAGGUAAUGGCUCACCAAGGCGACGAUCUUUAACUGGUCUGAGAGGAUGAUCAGUCACACUGGAACUGGGACACGAUCCAGACUCCUACGGGAGGCAGCAGUAGGGAAUAGUGCACAAUGGAGGAAACGCUGAUGCAGCGACGCCGCGUGGGUGAUGAAGGCCUUCGGGGCGUAAAGCUCUGUCGCAGGGGAAUAACAGAAUGAAUGUACCCUGUAAGAAAGAAUCGGCUAACUUCGUG
rnacentral:rRNA from 1 species